GGCUAUUCUUUGUAACCCCCUCUAAAAUUACUAUUUACGGUGAAGUGCCUAAGAUUCCUUUUGUCCUACUUAUAGUAUUUUCAAAUGAGUCAUUGGAGCUAACACUCAAGUUAGAAGACUAAUUCAAAAAUAUGUCUUUGCUAAUUUUAUAAUGAGCCUGGAAAAAGAUUAAUAAGGUGCUGAAUUGAGAAGCUACCAGUUUAGUGAGUACCUUAAUAGGCAACUACGGUAAUACGAGGCAUUCAGUGUGCUGUACAUGGAAGAUUUGUCUAAGUAACAACUUUGGAAGCAACUGCAAACUCUGGAAGCCUUAUUUGUUCGCAUCUUCAAAGACAAAAAUAAUGACUAUGGGAAAUACCAUAGUAUAAUACUGGUUUUCUUGAAUGGCAAUUAAUGAAACUGAAGAUCACGGUUGUCCCAUUUCAACGAAGUAGUGGUGCUGAGGUGAGGCUGUAGUGGAACCAAUAAGAGAGGAGAUAUGUGUUGGCAGUGCUGGAGUAGGCCCCGCUGAGAUGGUUGUGGGACAGAAAAAUGAAGGAAUUGCUCCCACUAAAAGACAUGAUUAGACUGUGAUCUUUAUGGAACUGCUAGAACAAGGAAACUC